UACGAAGGGGGCGAGCGUUGUUCGGAUUUACUGGGCGUAAAGGGCGCGCAGGCGGCUACAUUUGUCAGGCGUGAAAGCCCCGGGCUUAACCUGGGAACUGCGUUUGAUACGGUGUGGCUAGAGUUCGGGAGAGGAGAGUGAGUUCCCAGUGUAGAGGUGAAAUUCGUAGAUAUUGGGAAGAACACCGGUGGCGAAGGCGGCUCUCUGGACCGAGACUGACGCUGAGGCGCGAAAGCGUGGGGAGCGAACAGG
rnacentral:rRNA from 1 species